GUGGGGAAUAUUGGACAAUGGGCGAAAGCCUGAUCCAGCCAUGCCGCGUGUGUGAAGAAGGUCUUCGGAUUGUAAAGCACUUUAAGUUGAGAGGAAGGGCAGUAAGUUAAUACCUUGCUGUUUUGACGUUACCGACAGAAUAAGCACCGGCUAACUUCGUGCCAGCAGCCGCGGUAAUACGAAGGGUGCAAGCGUUAAUCGGAAUUACUGGGCGUAAAGCGCGCGUAGGUGGUUUUGUAAGUUGGAGGUGAAAUCCCCGGGCUCAACCUGGGAACUGCCUCCAAAACUGCAUGACUAGAGUACGGUAGAGGGUAGUGGAAUUUCCUGUGUAGCGGUGAAAUGCGUAGAUAUAGGAAGGAACACCAGUGGCGAAGGCGACUACCUGGACUGAUACUGACACUGAGGUGCGAAAGCGUGGGGAGCAAACAGGAUUAGAUACCCUUGUAGUCC
rnacentral:rRNA from 1 species